rnacentral:lncRNA from 1 species
GGCGUUAAUAUUGAGUCACUGAUAAGGUCCUUGCAUCGGAACUAAACACAUUUAUUCUAAAAACAGUUGUUGGCAUGACACGGGUUAUGUUCUUCUCAUAUAUGUUAUGAUGGUAUGAUACUAAACCCCUAACGGGAAGGAUUGUGCCUGAUGUUCAUAUGAUGAAAUCAUAAUCUUUCAGUCAGUUUAAUUGAAGUCUGGAGC